rfam:Glaciecola nitratireducens FR1064, complete genome.
UGGCAUGACUGAAUUAGUGAUCGGCGUGCUGUUGUUUAAACCAUCUAUCUAUAUUGGAGAUAAUCAUGUCACUAACCACAGAAGAAAUCGGUACUAUCGUAUCUGAAUACGGAAUUAAAGAA